AUGGGGGUAUGGUUCCCAGUCCAGUGGAACUAUAUUUUCAGAGGGAUUAUGGCCACAUCUGCUGAGUCAUACAGGUCACCAUGGAAGUUGGGGAGAGCUGGCAGUCACAGGCCCCGUCCCAUUCCCACACAGCCUGCAGUCCUAAAGGCUGGUCUCACUCCCCUCAUCUUCCCCAACAGUACCAAUUCUAUUUCCAGGAAGCCGGUGACCAGAGCUGAGAGCUUGCCCCAGACCACGAGCCUCCCCAUUGAGAAAGCAAACAGAUUCCCAAUUUUCCAGCAUCUCGGGGAGCCUGCAGCAGUGAUCCAGUUUCCUCAAAGGGUCUGUGGAUUCUCUUGUCACUCCUGGUGUAUAGAUCCUGUCUUAGAAAUGUAGUGGGAGGUGAAUGUGUCAGGCUGCGACUUUAUUCUCUCCCUGGAAUAACCAAGAAUGUUCUAGAAAAUCAAUUUGCCCUCACCAGAAGGACUCCACUGAAGUACAGAAUCAUUGUCUACUGGGACAAAAGUUCCUUUGCAGAUGGAUAUGGCUUCAUUUCUGUUUCGUUAGCAGUGCUUCAGAGAAGAUGAUGGAUAAACUUAGUUAUUUGUUGCUUUUCUUAUGAAAGAUUUUACCCAUUUCUUUUCAAUGUAGAAGAAUAUGGGAGCCUGAAGGUGAUUGCCGAGAUUUGUCAUUUUCAGUAGUUCAGGGAUCUCCCUGAGAGAAACUGAAGGCAUCUGCUUUCAACACUCAUGUCUGUAAAGCCACCACAGAGAGGGAAAUGUAUGAACCUUUGGACUCCAGACACUGUUGCAUUUGAAAAGAAUUGUUGCUAUGAAUAUUGGAAUAUUUUCCUUCUGUUCACUGCUUAUGACUUAUAUGUAGGGCAGAAGAUUGGGGGUUGCAUAUUACAAUUGGGGGUUGUAAUAUUACAGGCAUAUUACACCCACUCACAAAUUCUGAGUUCAAAAAUGUUGUGUUUAAAAAUUAGCCUCCUUGAUUAGAUUAAUAUGCAGAAUUGUUAGGUGUUGUAAAACAACAUGCAAAUUAUGUCCACAUGAUUAAUGUGAAAUGAAAAAUCUAGCCAAAUAUCUUGUUCACACACAGUUUCCCCAAAUUAGAGCAUAUAUACUUCCAUUUUUGUAAAAUUAUUUACCUUAAAGCAAUUUUAAGAAAAAAUUGAUCUGUUUCUCUACUUUGCCUCUCAAAUCUGCCUCAUAAGUAAUGGAAUUUUAAAAGAUGUGACAGUGUUAUUUAAAACGAAAUGAAAUAAAAUGGCAUAAAAUAAAAAAAAAUACCCAAACUUUCCUUUCCUUUUAGUAAGCAGUAUUUGUGACGGAAGUUGCCUGGGAGUGAGUCUCCAGAGACCAGUACUGUGGGGUGGAGGAGAAGUCAUUUAACCCUCCUUGGCCUUUGUUUCCUCACCUAUAAAAUUAGGGCACUAGAGAAACGAUGUCUGUGGUUUCCAUCAGUUCCCUCCCUCUAGCUUUAAACACUAUAAUUUGCUUUUCUCUGCUAUGCAUAUGCCACUGUCUAACAUUCCCUUGGGAAUGAUACUUUCAGCAUCGUUUUCAAAUAGUAUUCAAGAGAGAGAAAACUCCAAGGCAGCAGAUCCAGUAUUUUCAAAUUUUAAGACUCAACUGAGAAGAAAAGUGUUCAUCCAGAAAAGGAUAUAAAUUCCACUUGACUUACAUCGUAGCCCUUUCCACACACCUCCAUUAUGGAAGAGGUUGACAUUAAAAAGAUUUUCCCAUCUUUAAUGGCUGUGACUAAGAGUCUUGAUUGUACAAUAUUUUGGCUUGCACUCCAUAGUUCCCUCAAUGUCCCCAUCUAUGUCCAUGGGUAGCUCUCUAAGUACAGCAGCUGUGCCAUCUGUUUCAAAUAUUAUUUCAGCCCUCACUGUUUUGGGAUAAAUUUCAUAAAGUGUAUUGCAUACACACACAUUUAAUUGAACAAACGAGAAGCCUUUCCAGUUUAAAAAAGCUUCCUAAAUGACAAGAAGUGUCCAAUUUCCAUUCAAAUGGUUACUUCGGGGCUUUUAAAUGUGUGAAUUCAUCUAACAGAGGCUGGUGGUGUGUUUUGAGGCAGAUGGCUUGAUUUUGUGAAGAAAAAAAAUUAAAUGGAAUUUACUAUCGAUCUUAUUUUUUUUUGGCAAAAGACUGACAUAAUAAAGAUGUGUGUAUUACUGAGAAUGCUUUUUAAUAAUGAUUCUACCUUAUGUUUUCCCCCAAGAAUAUGGUUAACUGACUAGGAAAAUCUAUUUAGAGAUUUUAUGUUUAUCCAUAAUGAUCAGCUUAGAGAAAAAAAAAAAAAAAAAAAAAACAAAAAGCUGCCCACAAACAGAAUUGCUGAAAUACAAAAGGAAAAUAAUGCUCUACAACUUUCUAAAGGAGUCCAAGAAGAAAGGAAUGCUAAAGUUUAUUUUGUUUCUCCUGUUAAAUAGUUGUGAAGCCAACUGAAGAUUUUUGAGGGAAGGAGAAGAGAUUUCACGUCUCUUGAGAUGUCCUUAGAGGAAUAUCUUUGGUGGGCCUGACAGGUAUUGUGUCCAAGGCACUUUUAUAUUUAAGACCAGACGUUUUAAAAAUGUGUCGCUGGAAUUAUUCGUAGCCACUAAUGGUGUGUACUCUCAAAUUUAGACUCAUGUGAGCACAUGUCAAAAUUAUGUCAAAAAUUCUAUGCUGUAAGGAUCUUUAUUUUCCCAUUUGUAGUUUACAGAACUGACUGAGCUCCUCGUUAGUUCUUGAUUAGUUAAAACACAGUAUAUGUCUCAUACUUCUUGAAUAUGGUGGUUCAGGAAGCUAAGCCUAAGCCAAUCGGCUCAUAGCUUCAUGUGGCAGCAGUUACAGAUGAUUCCCAACU
rnacentral:lncRNA from 1 species